UACGGAGGGGGCUAGCGUUGUUCGGAAUUACUGGGCUUAAAGCGCACGUAGGCGGAUCAGUCAGUCAGGGGUGAAAUCCCGGGGCUCAACCCCGGAACUGCCUUUGAUACUGCUGGGCGGGAGGAUGAGAGGGGGGAGUGGAAUUCCGAGUGUAGAGGUGAAAUUCGUAGAACUUCGGAGGAACACCAGUGGCGAAGGCGGCUCCCUGGCCAGAUACUGACGCUGAGGUGCGAAAGUGUGGGGAGCAAACAGG
rnacentral:misc_RNA from 1 species